UGACAAAAUUAAUUUACAGCAAAUCUAAAUAUUUGUUCAGAUUGAACGUCAGUAAUUAAUACUCUUCUAUUAAGUUUCAUUUUGAUAAUAUUUUUAUUAAAGGUUCCCAUUUGAAUAUCUUAACUGAGUGUCAUACUAGUUCAUAAACCCAGUAAACUGACACAUGAAAAUUUUUAUAGGAUAAAUCCUGUCUCAAAAUCCAGUCUCAUUUAUUACACGCAAGAAUCGAGCCAUAUAUCAACAUGACUAUUAUAUGGCAAUAGAUUUACAGCCACCUGGAACAUAUUUAUCCUUGCACGUUUCCUAUUCCGAACCAGGGAACGGCCAAGCCAGGCUAGCAAGAGAAAUGCACUUUCAGCCGGAGUUUCCAUCGACUCUGAAUCGUUGUUUGGCCAAAUAACGAACAUCAGAACGUAUAUUCCCAGCGUUGUUAUGUGGAGAUACCUCGCCGUUGGUGGGUGGAGUGACAGGCUCAGAUCAAUACUUAACAGGAACGAAUAGGGAACCAUUCAACGAGACACCGGUGUCUUGUAAUUUACAGAUAUCAUGCUGUUUCGACACUUGGCUAGAGACUCUUGACGGUUUCAAAGAUGUCAGCGGUAUAACGAUGAAAUUUGGUAGCUCGUGUUAGCGGAACUUUUGGACGUUUAAGGAAUCGUUCGAGAUUGAAUGUAUAAUGUGGCAAAAGCACAAGGAGGCUAUUGUUGGACGACAAAAGGAGGAUUCGGUAUAAUGUUCAUCGACGUUCAGGGGAAUUCCACAAUGGCAGCAAUGACGUAUCGAUGAUUCGUCGGACAAAAACAAGGAAUUAUAACGUGGUCGUUCAAAGGCGCAAUCAACAGGUAUAACGAACGAUUCACUGGCUGCUCGACAUCGUUCUGAAAUCUCCUUUCUCUAUAAAACGAUUGUGAGACUGCUUUAAAUAUGUUGUAAAAAUCCUAUCGAGUAUCGGUUCGAAAAACGAAACACGAAAAGGCCAAUAAUUGCUACUGUAAGCGCCGAUGAACGCGGUUAAAAAACUCAACGAAUAUUCUAUUUACUUGCAUCCAUUAACAGUCAAUGUUAACAUAGAAUUUAAUUUUUCAUUUAUUUUUGUAUAUAAAAUAAUCGUCUGACACGUAAUGGAACAAAAAAUCAGUGAAUUCCUAUUGUAUGGAGUCUUUUGGACUCAGGUAAACAAAAUUCUCCUAUUAUAUACAUUCUGUGUAUUUUUGCAUUUGUCAAUCUUUCAUAAAUGCACGAAUAUUCACAAUUCAUUAAUUGACGGUAACCAGAAUUAUUGGCAGCUUUCAUGUUCUUGGCA